rnacentral:pre_miRNA from 1 species
UGAUGAUGAUGAUGAUGAUGAUGAUGAUGAUGAUGAUGACGACGACGACGACGAUAAUGACGAUUUUAAUGAUGAUGGUGACGAGGAGGAUCAUCAUCAUCAUCAUCAUCAUCAUCAAAUGCA